rnacentral:rRNA from 1 species
AGAGUUUGAUCCUGGCUCAGGAUAAACGCUGGCGGCAUGCCUAAUACAUGCAAGUCGAACGGGAGUGCUUGCACUCCAGUGGCGAACGGGUGAGUAACACGUAUCUAAUCUACCUUAUAGCGGGGGAUAGCCUUUGGAAACGAAGGGUAAUACCGCAUGAGAAUUUCAUUAUCGCAUGAGAAGAAAUUGAAAGCACCGUUUGGUGCACUAUAAGAUGAGGAUGCGGCGUAUUAGCUAGUAGGUGGGGUAAAGGCCCACCUAGGCGAUGAUACGUAGCCGAACUGAGAGGUUGAUCGGCCACAUUGGGACUGAGAUACGGCCCAGACUCCUACGGGAGGCAGCAGUAGGGAAUUUUUCACAAUGGACGAAAGUCUGAUGAAGCAAUGCCGCGUGAGUGAUGAAGGUUUUCGGAUCGUAAAGCUCUGUUGUAAGGGAAGAACACACUUGAGAGGAAAUGCUCUUGUGCUGACGGUACCUUACCAGAAAGCCACGGCUAACUAUGUGCCAGCAGCCGCGGUAAUACAUAGGUGGCAAGCGUUAUCCGGAUUUAUUGGGCGUAUAGGGUGCGUAGGCGGUUUUGCAAGUUUGAGGUUAAAGCCUGGGGCUCAACCCCAGUUCGCCUUGAAAACUGUGAGACUAGAAUACAAGAGAGGUAAGCGGAAUUCCAUGUGUAGCGGUGAAAUGCGUAGAUAUAUGGAGGAACACCUGUGGCGAAAGCGGCUUACUGGCUUGUUAUUGACGCUGAGGCACGAAAGCGUGGGGAGCAAAUAGGAUUAGAUACCCUAGUAGUCCACGCCGUAAACGUUGAGUACUAAGUGUCGGGGGUUAUACCUCGGUGCUGCAGCUAACGCAUUAAGUACUCCGCCUGAGUAGUAUGCUCGCAAGAGUGAAACUCAAAGGAAUUGACGGGGACCCGCACAAGUGGUGGAGCAUGUGGUUUAAUUCGAAGCAACACGAAGAACCUUACCAGGGCUUGACAUCCAGUGCAAAGGCAUAGAGAUAUGCUGGAGGCUAACAUUGAGACAGGUGGUGCAUGGUUGUCGUCAGUUCGUGCCGUGAGGUGUUGGGUUAAGUCCCGCA